UACGGAGGGGGCUAGCGUUGUCCGAAGUUACUGGGCGUAAAGCGCGCGUAGGCGGCUUUGUAAGUUAGAGGUGAAAGCCCGGAGCUCAACUCCGGAACUGCCUUUAAAACUGCAUCGCUUGAAUCCAGGAGAGGUGAGUGGAAUUCCGAGUGUAGAGGUGAAAUUCGUAGAUAUUCGGAAGAACACCAGUGGCGAAGGCGACUCACUGGCCCGUUACUGA
rnacentral:rRNA from 1 species